GCCGACAUGGCUCAGAGGAAGAGCGCGUUCUUGGUAAGAACGAGGUCCUGGGUUCGAGUCCCAGUGUCGGCUCCA
rnacentral:tRNA from 1 species